rnacentral:ncRNA from 1 species
ACCCGCUGAAUUUAAGCAUAUAAGUAAGCGGAGGAUAAGAAACUAAAUAGGAUUCCCUCAGUAAUGGCGAAUGAACAGGGAUGAGCUCAGUAUGGAAAUUGGGGCCUGUGGCCUUGAAUUGUAGUCUGGAGAUGUACCACCAACUGGGGCGCAGAUGUAAGCCUCUUGGAAAAGAGCAUCAAUGAGGGUGAGAGUCCCGCAUGGCAUCUGCAGUCCCCAGUGCACGGUGUACCUUCUAAGAGUCACGUUCCUCGGGAUUGGAGCGCAAAUUGGGUGGUAAAUUUCAUCUAAAGCUAAAUAUAGUUUCGAGACCGAUAGCAAACAAGUACCAUGAGGGAAAGGUGAAAAGGACUUUGAAAAGAGAGUUAAAAGUGCCUGAAAUUGCUGAAAGGGAAGCGAAUGGAACCAGCGAAACUUGGCAAGAUUGCUGUGUGUCAAUGUGAUUGCUUGCUGCUGCAACGUAAGUGUGGUAGUAAGUCUUGAGCAGGACAUGCUCGGUGUUUCUUGCCUUGUGUGUCACCUGUGGUUCUUGAUUGGGGAAAACUUCAGGGACAUGGUAGCCUGCUCACGGGUGGGUGAACGUGUCUGCUGGAACUCAUUCGUGGACUGCUUGGGUGACUAAAUGGGUUUCAUCCCAACACGUCUUGAAACACGGACCAAGG